rnacentral:rRNA from 1 species
CAUUGCUAUCGGAGUUCGACUCAGCCAUGCUAGUCGCACGGGUUUAGACCCGUGGCAAAUAGCUCAGUAACACGUGGUCAAACUGCCUUACAGAUCGGAAUAACCUCGGGAAACUGAGGCUAAUGCCGAAUAGGACUUUCACGCUGGAGUGCGGAAAGUCCGAAACGUUCAGGCGCUGUAGGAUGUGGCUGCGGCCGAUUAGGUAGACGGUGGGGUAACGGCCCACCGUGCCGAUAAUCGGUACAGGUUGUGAGAGCAAGAGCCUGGAGACGGAAUCUGAGACAAGAUUCCGGGCCCUACGGGGCGCAGCAGGCGCGAAACCUUUACACUGCACGACAGUGCGAUAGGGGAACUCCGAGUGCGAGGGCAUACAACGCCCUCGCUUUUGUAGACCCUAAGGCGGUCUACGAACAAGUGCUGGGCAAGACCGGUGCCAGCCGCCGCGGUAAUACCGGCAGCACGAGUGAUGGCCGAUUUUAUUGGGCCUAAAGCGUCCGUAGCUGGCUGAACAAGUCUGUCGGGAAAUCCAGUGGCUCAACCACUGGGCGUCCGGCGGAAACUGUUCGGCUUGGGACCGGAAGACUCGAGGGGUACGUUCGGGGUAGGAGUGAAAUCCCGUAAUCCUGAACGGACCACCGAUGGCGAAAGCACCUCGAGAG